UACGUAGGGGGCUAGCGUUGUCCGGAAUCAUUGGGCGUAAAGCGCGCGUAGGCGGCCAGAUAAGUCCGGUGUGAAAGUCACAGGCUCAACCUGUGAAUGCCGCUGGAAACUGUCUGGCUUGAGUCCGGGAAGGGGCGAGUGGAAUUCCCGGUGUAGCGGUGAAAUGCGCAGAUAUCGGGAGGAACACCGGUGGCGAAGGCG
rnacentral:rRNA from 1 species